UACGUAGGGUGCAAGCGUUGCCCGGAUUUACUGGGCGUAAAGGGCGUGCAGGCGGUCUGUUAAGUUCAGGGUGAAAGCUCCCGGCUCAACUGGGAGAGGUCCUUGGAUACUGGCAGACUUGAGGGAGGUAGAGGAGAGUGGAAUUCCCGGUGUAGUGGUGAAAUGCGCAGAUAUCAGGAGGAACACCGGUGGCGAAGGCGGGUCUCUGGGCCGAUACUGACGCUGAGGAGCGAAAGCGUGGGGAGCGAACAGG
rnacentral:rRNA from 1 species